UACGAAGGGGGCUAGCGUUGCUCGGAAUCACUGGGCGUAAAGCGCACGUAGGCGGUUUGUUAAGUCGGAGGUGAAAUCCUGGAGCUCAACUCCAGAACUGCCCUUCGAUACUGGCAGGCUUCGAGUUCGGGAGAGGUGAGUGGAACUGCGAGUGUAGAGGUGAAAAUUCGUAGAUAUUCGCAAGAACACCCAGUGGCGAAGGGCGGCUCACUGGCCCGAUACUGACGCUGAGGUGCGAAAGCGUGGGGAGCAACAGG
rnacentral:rRNA from 1 species